rnacentral:RNase_P_RNA from 1 species
AGAGUCGGCCAGACAACCGCCGCCUUCCUUCGGGAAGGGGGAGGAAAGUCCGGACUCCACAGGGCAGGGUGAUGGCUAACGGCCAUCCGUCGUGAGACGCGGAACAGGGCAACAGAGAGCAGACCGCCGAUGGCCCCUGGCGAAAGCCAGGCGGAUCAGGUAAGGGUGAAACGGUGCGGUAAGAGCGCACCGCGGCGUGCGGCAACGCACACGGCACGGUAACCUCCACCCGGAGCAAUUCCAAAUAGGCAGGUGAGCGGCAUGCACCUCGUGUGCGUGUCGGCAACGGGGCCCCCGGGAGCCUGCGGGUAGGAAGCUUGAGCGGCGCAGUGAUGCGUCGUCUAGAGGAAUGGUUGUCAGGCGCGGCGCAAGCCGCGUUCACAGAAUCCGGCUUAUCGGCCGGCUCUGCAU